rnacentral:rRNA from 1 species
AAACUAGGAUUAGAUACCCUAUUAUUUUAAGCUAUAUAUUGGUACGUAAUUAAUAAUUUAUGAAAUCAUAAGAUUUUGGCGGUAUUUUAAGCUUAUUAGAGGAAUUUGCUCUGUGAUGGAUACAACGCCUCGAUCUUACUUAAUUUGGUUUAGGGCAGUUUGUAUACCACUAUAUUUAAUUAUAUUGAAUAGUUAUAUUUAAGAUUUUUUUAUAAAAAAAAAUAUAUUAAGUCAAGGUGCAAUUAAUAAUUAUGAAUGAAGUGAAUUACAUUAAUUUUAAUUUUUUUUUAAAAUAUUGAAAAUAAAAUUUUAGGAUUUAAUAGUAAAAUGUUAAUAUUAUGAAUAUUUGAAUAAAGCUCUAAAAUAUGCACAUAUCGCCGUCGCUCUCAGUGGUGAGAUAAGUCGUAACAUAG